rnacentral:lncRNA from 1 species
UUCAGGGGAUUCUAUUCCUGGAUUCUUCCAGCAAUGGUGACUGGAUGACUACGAGUGUAAAUUCAAAAAGAUCGACCGCCAACUUGCCUGACUCCAAGGGAAAGGUCGGAAGUGUUGGAGUUUUUAUGGUUUCAUGUACGUAUGAUUUUAAAAACUAGUACGCAGUGGAAUUUAAAAUUUUUUCAGAUUAAAUCUAAUUUAGUCUAAGCAUGCAUAAAAUCAAAUCUUCAAACCAUAAACAGGAUCAUUAU